AAGGGAGCCUCAUUAAGCUGCAAGUGUGACUACAGACAAGGGGAGUGGCUAGGGUGUGGUUUGGAAUUGGGCCGUUAUGUUUACCAUCACCUCCUGCUCCCUAGUGGCCAUUCAGAGGUAUUGAGACAACAAUAAUAACACACUGAGCCAGGAUCAUUCACUCGACACAGGUAUUUGUUUUAAAACGAUUUAAAUGUGUGCCAGUCCUUGAAGGUCUCUUGCUUAUUCAACAAUAGCUGAUUUAUGCACCCUGUGCCACCAAAUAAAGUAAAAUUGAAAUGAUCCUGUGCAUUGUGAGGAGUAAAUAAUGACGUCUCUGUCAGGACGUCACAGAGCACAAAGUUCCUGUUCUCCGCCACCGGUAUAAAGGAGGAUGCUGGGGGAGGCUCAGUGUUAAUGUUGGGCUUGCAGAGGGAGUGAUGUGCUAUAGCACAGGAAGUUUAUCUGGGUCAACUACGCACGAUGGGAAGCUGCCGUGUUCCCCUUUUCUGUUCAGUACUGUGUGCCACUGGACUCUUCUACAGCCAAACAGGGGGAUACAAAACCAAACGCUUCACUUAUUUCACUACGACAGAGGACAGCAAUGAAAGGCAACUGAUCAUUGAUUUACAUGGAGUUUUGGAAAGACUACAGAACAAUCAGUUUCCAGCUCUAAGAAAAAAGCAUGGCUAUCUGUCUGUGUGUGAUCCAGGAGACCAGUGUGCACUCAGAAAAGGCUCAAGGAUCGGGAAACUAUGUGACUGCUAUCUGCCGAGAACAUGCAACUCUUUUCUACACCGUUGUUUGUGAUUCUCUGUGUGUUACAACAUAAAACAAACAGGGUAAAAAUCUAUAAACUUGUGAUCUAUUUGAUUGCAUAUUAGUAUUUGAUUUGAUCUUUUCUUCUGCAAUAAGCAUUUUUCAAAUUCAGUAGUCCUAUUCUAUUAAAUGUGUUGUUGAGCGGG